CUCAGGAAACAGAAGGAGUUCUCAUAUGUCUUCAUAUGUCUUCUUGCACGUGGAGUGAUGCAUUUGGAAGAUGGGAGAGAGGCAUCAUGACAAGUGAAGAGGAAGGAAGAAGUGGUUGGGAAAAAGGAAGCAACUGGAGGAGGUGGGUGGGAUGGGACUUGGCACCAUACGGGCUUGACCUUCCAGAGGAGAGAGGCUUCUGUGAGAUGCCUGAUGGGUAACGGCAGCAGCAGGCAUGGACUGUGGCGUAAUUGCAUUCUGCCUGUCUCCUACAUUUUUCUGGGUUGGGCACCAUUUGUUUCAAAGCUCCUGUUGCGUGGCCAUUAAAUCACCGUUUGCUCUG
rnacentral:lncRNA from 1 species